CUACGGGAUGCACCAGUGAGGAAUAUUGCACAAUGGAGGAAACUCUGAUGCAGCAACGCCGCGUGGAGGAUGACGCAUUUCGGUGUGUAAACUCCUUUUAUAUGUCAAGAAAAUGACGGUAGCAUAUGAAUAAGCACCGGCUAACUCCGUGCCAGCAGCCGCGGUAAUACGGAGGGUGCAAGCGUUACUCGGAAUCACUGGGCGUAAAGGACGCGUAGGCGGGUUGGAAAGUCAGGUGUGAAAUCCUACAGCUUAACUGUAGAACUGCACUUGAAACUUCUAAUCUAGAGUAUGGGAGGGGGAGAUGGAAUUAGUGGUGUAGGGGUAAAAUCCGUAGAUAUCACUAGGAAUACCUAAAGCGAAGGCGAUCUCCUGGAACAUUACUGACGCUAAGGCGUGAAAGCGUGGGGAGCAAACAGGAUUAGAUACCCGGGUAGUC
rnacentral:rRNA from 1 species